AAUCAUGGCAUAGCAAAUAUUUGACAUGCCAUCAUUCAUCAAGAAUUUUGUCUAUCCUAUCUUGUGUGAUUCGAAUAAAGAAAAAUCCGUUUAAACACGAGAAAUUAUUUUCACACAAUAAGACUCAUAAUAAAUUUUAGAGAACUUUAACAAAAAGCUUUUUGUAUUGUUCAUUUUAACGAAAAACCACAUUUUAGACUAAAAAGUCAAUCAUGUAUUAUUCAUUUUAUCUUUUAUUUUGUCCUUAUCGUUAAAACUCAAAGUUUUCAAACAUUUUUUUAUUAAUUUUCCUUAAAUUUUAAGGUGUGAAUCAAAUUUGGAUUUUAAAAAUCCACUUCCACUAGUUCCACACUAAUUUUAUAAGAUGUCCCACUUUAAAUAUCAUUUGUAUUCGUAAAAUACAUCACAUUGAUCACAAACUUUCCGAAAUUUGAAAUUGAUUUCUAGAAUUUGGCCUUUGGCGUUAAAAUGUUUAACAGAUGUAUGAAUCUUUGAAAUUGUUGAGCUCCAUUGCCCAACAAGUUGAGUUUAGAUCCCACCAUUCCCAUCAAUUUUGUGCUAUAUUUGCAAUUAAAUUCAACUCAUCGCGAUUUGAAAUGACUUGGUUUUUAUAGCUCAAACCAGUAGAGACUAAAUUAAUUCAAGGAGAAAUUUGGUUCUCAUUCCUCUUUUUUCAACUCCAUUGAUCGAAACCUUAUUCAUUUUCAAUUUUUCAUCAAGGUCCCUUGGUUUUAAUAAACGUCAUUAAUUAUUUCAAUAAUAAAAUAUUUUACAUGUCAAGAUAAUUAAAUUUUACUUCUAAAUAUAUUCAUUUAGUGUUAGAAACAUUACAUUUGAUAUAUAUAUAUAUAUAUGGCUAAAUUUUGCAUCUUAUUUUUUUAUUUUUUAUUUGUACCCAUUUUAAUUUGCAACCCUUUUUUUAAAUUGUACCAAUUUUCUUUUUAGUUUUAGUUUGUAUAUAAAAUGUACCCAUUCUUUUUUAUAUAAAAUGUACCACCUUUUUGGUAAAAAAUGCACCAACUUUUUGUAUGUAAAAUGUACCGUAUGUAAAAAAAUGACAUUAAUAUAAGUAAUGACAAAUCAUAGGUUUUAUUUAAAUAUAAUUUAUCUUAAUGACAAAUCAUGUCAUUAAGAUAAAUUAUACUUUUUUAUAUAAGUAUAAUUUAUGUUCUAUAGUUGUAAGACUCAACAGGAUUGGAAUUUAACACAACUCCAAUGAUAUCAAGUCUUAAGCCAUAAAACAAAAAGAAAACUAAUGAAAAAUGCUCGAAAAUUUUGAGUUUGAACGAAAAUGACAAAGUAAAGAGUAAAGUGAAUAAUACCAGUAUUGACUUUUUAGUGUAAAAAUGUGAUUUUUCGUUAAAAUGAACAGUGUCAGAAGCUUUUCAUUAAAUUUCCCUAAAACAAAUGAUUUUGCCAUGACAAGAAAAAGAAAGUAGAGAUAAGAACACUGACGGCUAAAACACUCGUUGUGGGUCGGUGAUGUGUCGAAAGAUUGGUUUUGCUGCUAACCUAUGCACUAGGGUUGGGCCUUUAGUUGGUGCCCGAGUUUUCUAGGCCUAUUGAUAUUGAGGUUGGGCAAACAGCCCAAAAUACAAGAAAACCCAACAAAUGGUGAAUAAUGUUAUCGUCGGCGCAUGGUGUAAACGGUGAAUAAUGUCUUCCUCCUUAACCUAAUGGCUCUUAAUUUUAACUCUCAUUACAUUUAGUUUAAAUGAAUUAAUCAUUUGUAAAAGAAAAAAUGUUGGUCAUGUUCGGACUAUGGUGCUCGAAUACGAGAGUGGGGGGUUCUGCAAUUUGUGAAAACUCAAAAUUUCUUAAUUUGCGAGCCUAAUGGAUUUUCAAAAAUUUAAAAAGUAUAAAAGUAAUUAAAAAAUGUCCACUUCUUAUCCGUUCCGUGAGAGUUAGCAACCCAAACCCAAUUGAGUCUCCUAGUUUUUUUGGUUGAAAGGUGAAAUUUAUUCAAUCAAGUCUAACGGAUAAGUAAGUAUAUAUUCUCAAAAAAAAUGUUAAAAAUAAUUGAAUGAAACUGCCAUGUAUAGUCUCCUAGUUGACUUUAUAUUAGGGUUUCAUAUAACUAUAUAAUUAUUGGGUUCACUUAUAAACAUGACCAAUGAAGCUCCAAAAUGGUCAAACGUGAGUGAACGUGUUGAAUAAAGUAAAAAGUUUCACAUAGACUAUUGUACAAACAAAUCAUAACUAAUAUCAGAUGGUUCCAUUUUUAAUUGUAUGAAGGCCUUUUGCAUAGAAACUCCAAACUUAAUAAUUGCACAGGUGAUUAAGUGAGGACAAUAUCGACGCUAUUAAUGGUAGACCGCGUCCUGUCUCUAAAACUUUAACAUUAUCAUGCCGUGCUUCAUUGUAUUUGUUUCUCAUUGGCUUAUAAGCUGCAUAAAUGUCAAUUUGUUCUCUAAUCCUCCCCCCCCCCCUCUCCAAGUCAAGGAGGUUCUUUGUUCUUUGAAUGGAGAAGGCAUCCACUUGAACAAAAGGAGGGGAGGAUUAGUAUCGUUUACUUGUCCAAUAUUCUUUUGAAGUAAUGACUUGAAGUGGACGUGCAUCAUCUUCAUCUACUUGUACCAAAACAAGCAAAAAAAACAAAUCACUCUCACUACUUGAUGGAUGGACAAAGAAAGAGAGAGUGAGAGAGAGCCAACUUGGUUUCCUUCCUUUUUAAGAUUUGCACUACCUCAUAAAUAUAGGUAUAUUUUGAAGUUGAAUUUUCUGGUUGUGGUUUCUUUGUGGUAACCCUACAUUGCCACUUGCAUUAUGUGGUGGUCGAUCGAUCUUCAAUUUAGGUGAGUAUGAAAUGGGUUGUAAAUAGCGUAUAUGUAAGUAUGAAAUGAGUUGUACACUCAGUCGAUAUCUAAGUUUGAAUUCUCAUAAAUAAGGGUGGGUGAAAAAAAAAUUGCUCAACCAAGGCAACCACCAAACCAAACCUAAAAUAUCAAUUAAUGUAAAAAGUACAUAUUUUAUGAACAAGUAAUUUGUUGAAAGUGGUCCUAUUGAACCUUCCCGAGCCGGUUUAAAUGACAUGGUUAUGACUCAUAAGCAUAAUACCAUUUCAAUUUAUCAAAGAAAUUCCACAUAAGACACAUAAAAAAAGACUCAAAACGUGCACAAAUAUAUGACGUGACAAGACAUGAUUAACACAACUUUCCUUCUUUUUCAACGAGUAAUAUGAAUUAUUCUAUUGUUCUAUUAUGAUUUUCAUAUUCGUCCGCGUAUUGAUCAACACAUACUUGACACAAACACAACACCAAUAUAAAUAAGUAACACGAACACAACCUGAUGGUCACCCCCACAUAUGAUUUCGGAUUGCGGUUACAUAGGGUUUAGGACACGAGCC
rnacentral:lncRNA from 1 species